ACAGGUGGUGCAUGGUUUGUCGUUCAGCUCGUGUCGUGAGAUGUUCGGGUUAAGUCCCGCAACCGAGCGCAACCCUCGCCUCUAGUUGCCAGCAUUCGGUUGGGCACUCUAGAGGGACUGCCGGCGACAAGUCGGAGGAAGGUGGGGAUGACGUCAAAUCAUCAUGCCCCUUAUGACCUGGGCUACACACGUGCUACAAUGGGCGGUACAAAGGGCUGCGAACCCGCGAGGGGGAGCGAAUCCCAAAAAGCCGCUCUCAGUUCGGAUUGCAGGCUGCAACUCGCCUGCAUGAAGCCGGAAUCGCUAGUAAUCGCGGAUCAGCAUGCCGCGGUGAAUACGUUCCCGGGCCUU
rnacentral:rRNA from 1 species